GCGGUGGGGCGUGGAAAGGAGCGCUCCGUUGCUGGAGCAAUAGCCAGUUGUGGCCGAGCGCGCGCUCUCCACCCUUUGCCCAUCAGCUUCGCCUCGGUUGCGUGGGAAUUCCCUAGUGCUUGAACCUCUGGAAGUUGGUGCCGCAGCAAAAUCCAGCAAGGCUGCUUAUUAUUGAAGUGCUAUUAUUCCACCAAACAGAGCACCUCUGUUUUAUGACAUCUUAUCUUGGUGAUACCUAUUUUGUAAGGCCAAAUAGCUGUCUGUCCAUGAAGGAGGGAAGCCUCAAGGCUUCUUUGUGACUGGCUUCUUCUACCACGACCACUGGAAUAGCUGGCCCCAUAAGCAUCCCUAUUUGGCUUCUUUCCAGCCAGCUUUUCGUUCCUCCAUAGAUGUUCUACAUCUCUCGAUCUCUUGCUGUCUGAAAGAAAGCUGCCACAUAUCUGCUACAAAAUGCCAAGUGAGCAAUAAAGCUGCUGCAAUCAAUUCCAUCAGCUAGCAACUCAAUCUUCCUACCUGCAAUUCAUCUCAUCAGUGGGAGCAACUCAAUCUGCUUGCCUUGUCCCUUCAAUUGGGUAAGGAAAUGUCUCUGAAACGAUGACCCAAGAGGGCACAAGUAUACUACUAAAACUCUCGUGACUGUAACCUUUGACUGGGCGACACAGUUCAUAAUAAGAUGAAAGUUCCUGCCAUGACAAUACUGCCACCAGCUGUGACCACAUGAUCCUUACCUACAAUAUUCCCUGACACUUUCCUAGAAGGAAUAAAGUGAAUGGGGAACAUGUGAUCAUAGCUGGCAGUGGGAGCAUGGUGGUGGGAUUUGGACUUGGAACUUACUUCCUAGGAUGCUUGCAAGAAGAAAGUCAAUGGGAAGGGAAGGUCAGAAGUUGCUUGAGUAAGUCUCCUUGUACGAUCACUGCCAGUCCUUCUGUGCUCGCAAAUGUAUAUGAAAGGAUGACUAAAUAGUCAUGGGUUGUCUUGUAUGUGUGUAUGUGGUGGUGGGAUCCUUCCGGUUUAACAACUGGUUCGGUGAUCGUGCGAUCAUGCUGCGAGCAUGUGCACAGUUUGAAGAAAUCUUCACUUCCGGGUUUCUUCGGAGGAGUAACAUAACUGAUUUGCACAGCAAUCUGCUCUUCCGUGUGAAUCAGCUGAGAACAUAAAGGUAGGAAAAUAGUGCAGGCAGGCAGGUGGGCCCUGUCUGGUUGUCGGGACGAACCAGUUCGCUCCCAGCUGAUCGUCAGAGCUAUCAGUUCGUCCGAACCGGUAUGAACCUGUAGAAUCCCAUUCCUGCACACAACCCCCAUAUAAACACAUGCACACACGAAUAUAUUGAAACUUUUUCAGCUGGUGGGCAUUUUUCAAAUAACUUAUGUGCAAGAGCUCUCACAAAAAGCCUGCAUGAUGGGCAUGUCAAUAAUGAAACAUCUAUUUACUAAUGUAGUGGAAUAAUCAGCUAAAAGACAGGAGAUACUCAAAAGGCAUGGCAGUAUGAAGUUACUCCAGGAGAGGAAGCAACAUAGGCUACAUUACUGAAACCCUUAUCUGCUGGUUCAGUCAGUCAGGCAAGAUUCUUGUAUAUAGGUUGUCAGCAAUAAAGAAACUGCUUUGGUCUAUUCACAGGGUUGUUCUGACUGAUUUUGCCUGACAACCACAUGGCCUCACAAUGAGUAAGGUUUCACUUCCUCCCUAUCCUCAAUACCCACAGGUCAGUCAAAAUCGGCAAAAUGUCAGAUGGAAAUGUUAUGAUAUAGCUCCACCCCUUUCAUUCAAAUAAUUAAAAAGGACAAGGUUUGGGGCAUAACUUUAUGCUAGACCAAUCUUAGAGUAUUGUUCAACCUUUUGGAAUCCCCACCAUAUAUCUGACAUCAGUACAAUUGAACGGGUUCAGAAGUAUUUCAUGAGAAAAGUCUUGCAUUCUUUGGUACAAAUAGAAUUCCCUAUGCUACUAGGCUUGAAAUUCUCAGUUUAGAUAACUUAGAACUGUGUCGCUUGCAGUCAGACCUAGAUAUUGCAUACAAAAUUAUAUGGAAUAAUGUUUUACCCGUAAAUGACUUUUUUUGUUUUAAUCGCAAUAAUGCACACACUAACAACUGCUUUAAACUCAAUAUAAAUCGUUCUAAACUUGACUGUAAAAAAUACGAUUUCUGUAAUAGAGUUGUCAAAGUCUGGAAUUCUCUACCUGAUUCAGUUGUUUCAACUACAAAUUUUCAGUUUCAAUCACAAAUUGACUUCCUUGGACCUUACAUCAUACUUAAGUAGUCAGUAGAGGGGGUGUGCAUAAGUGCACUAAUGUGCCUGUAGUCCUGUCAUUGUAUUUUUAUUCUUGUUCUCAUUUUUGUUUAACAAAUUCUAAAUAAAUAAAUAAAUAAAACUUCAUUAACCAUUUUGCUUAGUUUCACACCCUUAUUCAUAUCUCUGGUUCCCAUCCUUCUUAUCAUCUAACUUCCA